CCCGCUGAACUUAAGCAUAUCAAUAAGCGGAGGAAAAGAAACCAACAGGGAUUGCCUCAGUAACGGCGAGUGAAGCGGCAACAGCUCAAAUUUGAAAUCUGGCCCUUGGGUCCGAGUUGUAAUUUGUAGAGGAUGCUUCUGGCGCGGUGCCUUCCGAGUUCCCUGGAACGGGACGCCAUAGAGGGUGAGAGCCCCGUCUGGUUGGAUGCCUAGCCUCUGUGAAGCUCCUUCGACGAGUCGAGUAGUUUGGGAAUGCUGCUCUAAAUGGGAGGUAUAUGUCUUCUAAAGCUAAAUAUUGGCCAGAGACCGAUAGCGCACAAGUAGAGUGAUCGAAAGAUGAAAAGCACUUUGAAAAGAGGGUUAAAUAGUAUGUGAAAUUGUUGAAAGGGAAGCGCUCAUAACCAGACUUGGGCCUGGUGAAUCAUCCGGCGUUCUCGCCGGUGCACUUCACCGGUCCAGGCCAGCAUCAGUUCGCCUCGGGGGAUAAAGGCUUCGGGAACGUGGCUCCUCCGGGAGUGUUAUAGCCCGUUGUGUAAUACCCUGCGGCGGACUGAGGUUCGCGCUCCGCAAGGAUGCUGGCGUAAUGGUCAUCAGCGACCCGUCUUGAAACACGG
rnacentral:rRNA from 1 species